CCUACGGGCGGCAGCAGUGCGGAAUAUUGCACAAUGGGGGAAACCCUGAUGCAGCGACGCCGCGUGAGUGAAGAAGUAAUUCGUUAUGUAAAGCUCUAUCAGCAGGGAAGAAAAUGACGGUACCUGAGUAAGAAGCCCCGGCUAACUACGUGCCAGCAGCCGCGGUAAUACGUAGGGGGCAAGCGUUAUCCGGAUUUACUGGGUGGAAAGGGAGCGUAGACGGCAGUGCAAGUCUGGAGUGAAAGGCGGGGGCUCAACCCCCGGACUGCUCUGGAAACUGUACGGCUGGAGUGCAGGAGAGGUAAGUGGAAUUCCUAGUGUAGCGGUGAAAUGCGUAGAUAUUAGGAGGAACACCAGUGGCGAAGGCGACUUACUGGACUGUAACUGACGUUGAGGCUCGAAAGCGUGGGGAGCAAACAGGAUUAGAUACCCUAGUAGUC
rnacentral:rRNA from 1 species